UCUCCCCGGCCAGUCCUUUUUCCUCUGAGCCACGCUGCUUCUCUAAAAUUACUCCCCAGAAGUGGGUUUACCCUUCUGGAAGGGUGAAUUUCCCCACAAGCUAAGGUCUAAGCUAAGGUUACGGUCGGUGGUGAGAGCGCCUUACAGACCUGACGACUGUGCUGGCUUUUUAUUUUUCUCUCUUCCCAGAAUUGUCCUGGUUGUUCACCGGCCAGCUGCACAGAGGGCCAAAUUAACAACUAACACCAGCCAAAGCAAAGAGGCGUGUGCCCUGGGUCGUGGGAGUGGAGGGCACGGCCUAGUUCUUCCUUCCGUCUUCUCGCGGUCACAUGGCAAUUCCACGGGGCAGCGGCUGCCAUCGGCCUCAGAGAACAGUUCUCGGUGCCACGGGACUCACUCACUCAUCCGUUUCCUUUGGAAUGAUAAGCCACUGAUGCAAGUUGGAGAAAGGGGAAAAGGAGAGAAGUGCCUUGCGUCUUCAACUGUUUAAAGGCGUUCUGGCUCAGCUCAGCAUUUGAACUGAGGAGCAGUUAUAGCAAAUACUUUCAACCGUGAAAUCAAAGGAAUAAAUCCCAGCAGCAAUUUGUUCAUUUUUGAGAGCCAAAACAAGGACGGUCACAAUAGGAGAAAUAAAAGCCUUAUGUUUU